CGGAGAUUGAAGUUUCAUCACGAGCGCGUGAACAGGUCUGGAAGUUAAUGAAGCAUGAUGAGCGAAAGUGGAAAGCUUCCAUCGAGAACCGGAGCGGUCGUGCUGCCCAUGUCCAGCAGAACCGUUCAGCACCCGUCCUUCCUGCCGCUGUCCGCGCGCCACUAUGGAGGAACUGCACUCCAUCCCAUCCUCCCCGAGGAAGUCUUCUAUAUUGAUCCCAGCAUGCACUGCAGGGAGAGGAUCCCCAACUUACUGACCCGGAUGAGGGCUUUUGAUUUCACCAGGCUCAACACCCCACAGCCCAUCAUGUCGCCCUGCCCGGCACCACCGAACCAGCCCGAUCCAUUCAGAUCUGGACUCCAUCCGACCAGAGACCUGGGCAGCCUCACCUGGACGGUGCGUUCUCUGGACGCCAACCUGCACCCUCGGGCGAUCAUCCAGCUUUCACAAGAGUAG
rnacentral:lncRNA from 1 species